rnacentral:rRNA from 1 species
UCUGAAUGUGACCUCGAUCAGUAGAUUCCAACCA